AUUGGAACUUGAAGUUGAAACUUGCAAGGUUGUGUUGUGUUUUGAAAAGUUUAUGUUUUCAUUUUUAGUUUAUGUAAUUUAUAUUGUAACUUGUAUGCGUCACGUAAUCAUGUUUUAGUUUGUUCAAGCUAUAUCUUGUAUUAUUAAUUUAUUGUGGCCGUGAAUGAUCAAUUUCAAGCAGUAACAGUGAUAAUAUUUUAUGAUUUAUAUAAUUAUUAUAUCACAAUCAUUAUAUCCACAUGUCGAUCAAAAAUAACGAAAAAAGUUUUUGUUUACCCAAGACAAAAAUUUGGGCUCUUCAUAAAUCUAGUACUCGGAAUAAAUACUAUUAUUAUAAUAUUAUAACUGGGAAAUCAUUCUGGGAACGUCCAAAGGAUCUCAAAGAUGAUGAAAUCAAUUUUCCGGAGGAAAACAAAGAAAAAAAGUUACUGCAAUCUUGCCAAAGGAUUCUGAGGACUCAGCUGAACAAUGCAAAUCUUCUAAGUCAGCCAGGCAGCUAAGUCAUGAGGCUAGGAAGAAAAACAAGGAAAUGCUGUCUAAAGAUAAACCCGAGCCUGAACUCCCUGACUACACUGACUCAGAAGAUGACCAGCCAAGUACAGUGAGCAGAGGCAACACAACUGACAAUGAAGCUAAUAAAUUACAAUCGGGAGAGAAGUUUGAAGAUAGCAAAGUGCCAGUCUUUGAUGCAAGGCGAAUCGGUGGUAUACUAUUUAAGCUCAACGAGGAGCUCGAACCUAUGGACUGGACACCUUCAACUGAAAACGAAUUUGAAGAAAUUCAGUCGAAAUCGGUGAAUACCGAAUGGCAACAUUUGGAAAAUGAAGUUAUCCCUAUGGAAAUUGAUGAAGCCACACUGGAUGAUACGUUCGUUGUAAUCGACACCAACAUAAUCAUUCGGGACUCGGCUUUGCUCGAAUCUUUGACCCAUUUCGAGUUAGCUGGUGGGAGUAAAAUCAAUGUAAUUGUGCCUUGGCAAGUACUACAAGAGUUGGAUCAUCUAAAGCAUAAACUGAAAGGCCUACCAGCAACCCACUGCAGAAAUGCGAUCCGAUUUAUUCGUAGUUGUUUCAGCAAUAAGUCGAGCAACAUGAUAGUCCAAAAUUCUGUUUCGGAAAAGCUUUGCAGCGAGUUGAUAAAGAUUGUAGUGCCUGACGACAACAUAUUAGCUUGCUGUUUGCAAAUCAUCGGAAUCGAUCGGAAAACGAUAUUACUCACUGAUGAUCUAAACCUUUGCAAUAAAGCAAGUGCCCAUAAUAUCGAGGCUUACACAAAAAUUGAAUUCAUUCCGAAGCUUUCCAAUAGAAACCAAAAAAGUCUUCCAGGUAUUGAAAAGAAUAAUAGUUGCGUAGGAACACUCCUGAAAAAGGUUCCAGGCCAUAAAGAAGAGCUGCCCUAUUCAGUUUUUAGAAACAUGAUGCCCCGUAAAUAUUGCGACCUUUCUUUUUCGCAAAACGACAAAAAGACCGGGUUUCCUGGAAAGGCACUAGGAACUUUGUCGCUAAAGAGGCCGAACACUGGUUCCAGUUCAACAGUAUGCUCUCUAACGUCCGAAGAUCAAAUCCACCAAAGCAAGAAAAUGAAAGACCAGUAUUGAGAUCUUUGCAAGUUUGAAAUCGUCUUGGCCGAAUUUAAAUUAUCUAAACUGAAGAAUGGCAUGAAUGCAAUGCCGAAUCGUUCUCUCGCCUCAAAAAAUCCAAAUGCGUCUUUAAUGUUUGCAAGACUUCCUCACUCGGAACUCUGUCAAGGAUUACUGGAUGAAAUAUGACUAUGUACGGAUUGAACUAUCUCUCAUAUUCAAAAAUUAUUUACUCAGAAGCUGAUUAUCUUUCAUCAUUUUUUUAUCCAUAUCGUGUUUUUAGUAUCGAAGUGAAUUAUUUUUGAUUUACCAAUGAUUGCGUAUAUAUUCUGAUGGGCGUAACUUCAUAUUCGUACUCUGAAUUCUUGAAAAAGUAUUCACAUUAUAAUUUCUAUGGUGCUUCGUUGAUACGGUGCUAAAGUGUUCUGUAAUAUCUGAUUAUUAUUGAAAGUAAUUAUUACUCAAUUUUUAUCAAUGAUUUAGUCUCUAUCAGUUGAUUUCAGUUCUUAUUUAUUAUGAAAUUCUUCACAUUUAUAAAGCUGCGGCACUUUGAUCUCUCGUUUUGUGUUUUUAUUAGAUUUUAUUCGUUGUUAUGAAUCGUUUAUUUUUUUAUCUACCAUUUUUUAAUUAAGAUUGUUGAAACUAGUUCUUAUGUCACUUUUAUAUUCGUAUGCUUUUUUCUCGGUUCCGAGAAAAUUAUGUUGGCAUUCGUUUUUUUUACAAUUAUAUUCAUGUAAUAAAUAUACAGGCUUAUCAUAAAAGAAUGAUGCGGUUUCGACCUUUGUAAGAAAAACAGAAUUUCUUACAGUUAAUGUAGUUUAUUUAUCUAAUCUGUCGUCUAAAACAUUUUUUACAUAGUUAAUAUAUCUGAAUAUGGGCGUCUUUAGUUGCUUGACAAAUGUCCAAAAGAUAAUCAACUUCUCUCUAACAUUCCUUCGGUUAUGGUUGUCAUUGCUUCUUUGAUCCUGUUUUUUAAGUAGUUCAGGUCGCAACGAACAAUGGCUUCGAUGUAAUACCACAAGAUGUGUACUCCUUGGAGCCCACAGCAUAGAUCCUGGCCGGCCUAUCCAUUGAUCUACAAAUUUCUCGUUCAAAGCGUCCGUGACCAAUUCACUGAAUUGUGGGGGAACACCAUCCUGUUGGAAAUGAAGUUCGAGUUCAUUGAACCUAUUAAUGUUUUCGAGUCCAUCUAGCUGAGGAAAGCAAUAAUAGAUUAGCAUGUCGAGAUACACAACUCUAUUGAUGUUUUAGCAAAGAAGGAAGGCCCUUUCACGGGAAUAUUCAUCAUACCACACCAAACAUUUACUUUGGGCGAAUUACGUUGUUUGUCAACAAUUUGGUUUUUCAGAGCCCCAUAUUCGUGAAUUGUGUCUGUUAGCAAAUCCACUCACAUGAAAAGUAGCUAAGUCUGUAAAAAUUAUAUCAUCUAAAAAUGAUUAGUUUUCACUUAUCCUGUCCAACAUUUCAACAGCAAAAUUGUAACGGCUUACACCAUCAUCGAGUUUUAAUCUUACAGUAUCUGGUUUUUAUUAGCGUGUAAUUUGUGUUCUUUAUGUAAAUCUUUGUGAACCGCUGUUUUUGGAAUGCCUAAUUAAACACUUCGACGAGGGAUGGACCAGGACUGUAAUUGCCGAUUGUCCAAUUAGUUGAAUUGUUUCGGCUGGUACACUUGGUCUGUCGGUUGAUUUCCGUUUCUAAACUGUUUCAGUUCCUUCAAAUUGUUACCAGCGUUUUAUGUUUUUAUUGUGCGAUGGAUCUCUUCCAAAUUCACGUCGGAACGCACGUUGAACUAAGAUUACGGAUUCAGCCAUCACAAACCACACUUUGCUUUAUCUUAGAGAACAUAGUACAAAAA
rnacentral:misc_RNA from 1 species